GAUGAACGCUGGCGGCGUGCCUAAUACAUGCAAGUCGAGCGAACGGACGAGAAGCUUGCUUCUCUGAUGUUAGCGGCGGACGGGUGAGUAACACGUGGAUAACCUACCUAUAAGACUGGGAUAACUUCGGGAAACCGUAGCUAAUACCGGAUAAUAUUUUGAACCGCAUGGUUCAAAAGUGAAAGACGGUCUUGCUGUCACUUAUAGAUGGAUCCGCGCUGCACUAGCUAGUUGGUAAGGUAACGGCUUACUAAGGCAACGAUGCAUAGCCGACCUGAGAGGGUGAUCGGCCACACUGGAACUGAGACACGGUCCAGACUCCUACGGGAGGCAGCAGUAGGGAAUCUUCCGCAAUGGGCGAAAGCCUGACGGAGCAACGCCGCGUGAGUGAUGAAGGUCUUCGGAUCGUAAAACUCUGUUAUUAGGGAAGAACAUAUGUGUAAGUAACUGUGCACAUCUUGACGGUACCUAAUCAGAAAGCCACGGCUAACUACGUG
rnacentral:rRNA from 1 species